rnacentral:lncRNA from 1 species
UCCGCUGGGGCUGCCCCAUACGACGGUUCUGUCGUUAUUUGAGCAGAAGCAGAUUUUGAAGGGGCCAAUUGAUGUUUUUUCUUCUUCUUUCCAGCAGCACUUGGGUUUUCUAGCUGGAUGGACUCCUGAUGUAAAGUGUCAUGGACUUCUUGAUGAUUUGAAGUGUUUAAAGGUUCCCUAAGAGAAGUAGGAUCUGUUUCCAGUAGAUGCCUACUUGAUGUGUCAGUAGAACUAGUCCUAGAUUUUUUGUGCUCCUUUUCUUGUGAAAGAUUAUCCAUUGCAUGUAUAUUAUGGAUCUGUAUCCCUAGGAUGUUAUGCGGCAGAACUUCACUUAUUAAAUCUACUGCCAUAGCUGAUGGUUCUGUUGUCUCUUGAGCAGCAGCAGAUUUUGACGGGGACAAUUGACGCCUUUUUCUUUUCUUCUUCUUUCCAACAGUGCUUGGAUUUUCUAGCUGGAUGGACCCCUCAUGUAAGGUAUCAUGGACUUCUUGAUGAUUAGAAGUGUUUAAAGAUCCCACAGUACAUGAUGUGUCAAAAGAAGCAGUCCUAGAUUUUUU